UGUAAGUUUAACUGUAAGUCGCUAUGGAUAAGAGCAUCUGCUAAAUGACUAAAA
rfam:Salmo salar isolate Sally breed double haploid chromosome ssa06, whole genome shotgun sequence.